rnacentral:rRNA from 1 species
UGGGGAAUAUUGCACAAUGGGCGCAAGCCUGAUGCAGCCACCCGUAGGAUGCAUGUAUGAAGAAGGCCUUCGGGUUGUAAAGUACUUUCAGCGGGGAGGAAGGUGUUGUGGUUAAUAACCUCAGCAAUUGACGUUACCCGCAGAAGAAGCACCGGCUAACUCCGUGCCAGCAGCCGCGGUAAUACGGAGGGUGCAAGCGUUAAUCGGAAUUACUGGGCGUAAAGCGCACGCAGGCGGUUUGUCAAGUCGGAUGUGAAAUCCCCGGGCUCAACCUGGGAACUGCAUCCGAAACUGGCAGGCUUGAGUCUUGUAGAGGGGGGUAGAAUUCCAGGUGUAGCGGUGAAAUGCGUAGAGAUCUGGAGGAAUACCGGUGGCGAAGGCGGCCCCCUGGACAAAGACUGACGCUCAGGUGCGAAAGCGUGGGGAGCAAACA